rnacentral:misc_RNA from 1 species
UUUCCGUAGGUAAACCUGCGGAAGGAUCAUUAUUGGAUUUUGAAACUUCAGGCUGCUGCUGGCUCUCCUCGGAGGGCAUGUGCACGCUUGUUGUCCAUUAUUUCUCCCACUGUGCACAAAUUGUAGACCUUUCAGUAGGCCUAUGUUGUUUUUCACAAUCUCUGAAUGUAAUAGAAUGGUUUUGAAUCUUGGGAAAUACAAUACAACUUUCAGCAACGGAUCUCUUGGCUCUC